rnacentral:lncRNA from 1 species
GCAAAAUGGAAUUCGAGGCGCUAGUGUACGGAGAGUUUCGACGGUUCCACGAAAAAGACCGAGAUGGCUGCUCUCAGGUUUUCUCUCUGCUAAAAUAGAUGUUCUACUCAUCAGGAAACGCUUAUUAAUUGCGUAAUCAUUGAUUGCGUAAAACAGAACGAACGAUCAGUGAGCUGUCAGUGAUUAUCAUUUUUACUGUAGAUUCCUAAAUUUAGAUUAAACACAUUGAUGGAUUACUCAACCAUUGUGCAAUCGUUGUAUUCGUUGUAACCGAUGUGUUUUUUGAAUGUAGCUAGACAUCACUUUACUAUUUCAAUACGAGUGUUGUUUUCCUCUUUGAUUGUGGAUAUUACAUAUGCAAUGUCCUGUUUUGUGAAAAGUUGUAGCAAUUAUUAUUGAAAAACAAAAUUACUUGACGGGAACAGCUUAAAAUACUUUUGUUUCCAAAAGAUUUUACGAUCGCAACUAAGUGGCUUGCAAUAUGCGAAAAACAAAACGUUAACAUUACAAAAGAUAUGAUAUAUUCAGAUAUAUUCUCAACACUUUGAUGCAUCAUGCUUUGUACAGCCAUCGAAAGAAAAGUCGCUUUUCUAUUCUCAGAAAAGACUGACAAAAUUGAAAGUAGAUGCAAUGUUACAUUUAAUGUUUGACCGCAAGUGGAAGCUGCUCAUUUUGAUAAAGAACCAUUGCCAUUAAUUGAUAAAUUAGAUAUGAAAGAAUCAACAUGCAAUGACAUCAACUUUUGAAUCACAAUGCAACGAUACAGUGCUAUCUGACACAUUUGGCAAUGAUAUACCUGUGCCAUAAGGAAUCCAGUCGAUUCAGAAUACUACCAUCUACAUUGCAGAUAAUUAAUCGAACCAUUGCUCUAGAAAAUAGAUAUAAAAA